rnacentral:hammerhead_ribozyme from 1 species
AUCCAGCUGACGAGUCCCAAAUAGGACGAGGCGUGCGUCCUGAAU